rnacentral:rRNA from 1 species
UCCGGAUGCCGAUCCCUGGUCUCAGAUUGAAUCGCUGGUCGGCAUGUCCUUAUCUCAUGUCAGUCCGAAUCGGUCAUCAGGUUAAGUCUGAUCGAGUGGGCGAACCGGGUGAGUCAUAUAUCCGGGACCGUGUCCCAGUAGNGGGGGAUAGUCCCGGUCGAAAGUCCGGAUUAAUAUCCGCAUACGAUCUAUCGGGUGAAAGGGGGGGAUCGUCAGACCUCUCGCUAUUGGAGCGGCCGAUAUCCAGAUUAGCUAGUUGGUGGGGUAAAAGUCUCCAUCCAGGCGACGAUCCUGUAGCUGGUCUGAGAGGACGACCAGUCCACACUGGGACUGAGACACGCGCCCCAGACUCCCUACGGGAGGCAGCAGUGGGGAAUUUUGGACAAUGGACGAAAGUCUGAUCCCAGCCAUGCCGCGUGCGGGAAGAAGGCUUCCGGGUUGUAAACCGCUUUUGUCCAGGGCCCCAGAAAAGCUCCGAACUCAAUAUUUUGG